rnacentral:snRNA from 1 species
GUGCUCACUUUGACAGCACAUAUAAUACAAUUGGAAUGAUACAAAGGAGAUUAUUAUGCCCCCUGUGCAAGGAUGACACACAAAUCCAUGAAGAAUUCUGUGUUUUU